GAAUUCGAUUACGACUGCUAAGACUGGAUAGGAAAGAAAAUAAGGCAUCUUAUUUCUUUUAAAAGACCUAGUAAUAGGUAUACUUUAGGAGGGGCUUGCGCCAUAUUAGUUAGUUGGUAGGGUAAUGGCCUACCAAGACGAUGAUGUGUAGCUGGACUGAGAGGUUGAACAGCCACAUUGGGACUGAGACACGGCCCAAACUCCUACGGGAGGCAGCAGUAAGGAAUUUUCGGCAAUGGAGGAAACUCUGACCGAGCAACGCCGCGUGAACGACGAAGUACUUUGGUAUGUAAAGUUCUUUUAUCAAGGAAGAAAAGCAAGUGGUGAACCAUUUGUUUGCCGGUACUUGAUGAAUAAGCCCCGGCUAAUUAUGUGCCAGCAGCCGCGGUAAAUAAAAAGGGGGCCAAGUGUUAUCCGGUAAUUUAUUGGGGCGUAAAAGGGUGCGUAGGCGGUCUAGUAAGUCAGUGGUGUAAAUGGCAACGCUCAACGUUGUCCGGGCUAUUGAAACUGCUAAACUUGAGUUAGAUAGAGGCGAGUGGAAUUCCGUGUGUAGCGGUAAAAUGCGUAAAUAUAUGGAGGAACACCAGAGGCGUAGGCGGCUCGCUGGGUCUUAACUGACGCUGAGGCACGAAAGCGUGGGGAGCAAACAGGAUUAGAUACCCUGGUAGUCCACGCCGUAAACGAUGAGUACUAAGUGUCGGGUUAAACCGGUACUGAAGUUAACACAUUAAGUACUCCGCCUGAGUAGUACGUACGCAAGUAUGAAACUUAAAGGAAUUGACGGGACUCCGCACAAGCGGUGGAUCAUGUUGUUUAAUUCGAAGAUACCCGAAAAACCUUACCAGGUCUUGACAUGUUUUUGCGAAACGGUAGUAAUAUCGUAGAGGUUAUCAGAAACACAGGUGGUGCAUGGUUGUCGUCAGCUCGUGUCGUGAGAUGUUAGGUUAAGUCCUAAAACGAGCGAAACCCUUAUCGUUAGUUGCCAGCACGUUAUGGUGUGGACUUUAACGAGACUGCCAGUGAUAAACUGGAGGAAGGUGAGGAUCACGUCAAAUCAGCAUGCCCCUUAUGACCUGGGCUACAAACGUGAUACAAUGGCUGUUACAAAGGGUAGCUGAAACGUAAGUUCUUGGCCAAUCCCCAAAAACAGUCUCAGUCCGGAUUGAAGUCUGCAACUCGACUUCAUGAAGUUGGAAUCGCUAGUAAUCGCGAAUCAGCAUGUCGCGGUGAAUACGUUCU
rnacentral:rRNA from 1 species